rnacentral:misc_RNA from 1 species
UUUCCGUAGGUGAACCUGCGGAAGGAUCAUUAAAGUUAUAGUACCCCGGCCCUCUGUGCUGGGGUCUUCUAUACCACCCUUUGUUUAUUACACCUUUGUUGCUUUGGCAGGCCUGCCCUCGGGCUGCUGGCUCCGGCCGGCUCGCGUCUGCCAGAGGACCUGAACUCUGUUUGUAUAUGAAGUCUGAGUACUAUAUAAUAGUUAAAACUUUCAACAACGGAUCUCUUGGUUCUG